GCAGGUCGGGCUGUUGAGUGAUCAGCAGCUGGCCGCUCGGUCCAUUCGCGCACCUCACAGUUGCGUAUUGAUCAGACAAGAAGACACGCUUAUCAACUCCAGUGUUUCCCCUCCUCUUAUAACAGGGUGAAAUCCCCCCCCCCCCCCCCCCCGCAAACAAUUCUCGGCUCGCGCGACAGAGCGAUGCGCGCGCCGGCAUCGAAGCUGCCGUGAUGCGCGCACACGGGUGAGCACCGCGUAUUCGGUCCCAUCCCCUACAACGUGAAGCAUCGGCUACUUUAGAAAACAUGGGGGAUGCAAGUUCAACAACGGCUUGAAGAGAACGAGUGUUUCUGGUCACGGUGGGUGAAAUGCUUCUGAAGCUGCGUUGUGUCGCGAGACUUUCCAGCGGUGGAAUCUCACGUAGAGCAAGAAGCACAGAGACUAGCGAAGGCCGCCAGCAGCCCGCGGGGCUAGCUGCUGCUCCGCCGCUAGCUGCUGCUCCGCCGCUAGCUCCUGCUCCGCCGCGAGUUCCUGCUCCGCUGCUGCUCCGCCGCGAGCUCCUGCUCCGCCGCUAGCUCCUGCUCCGCUGCUGCUCCGCCGCUAGCUCCUGCUCCGCCGCUAGCUCCUGCUCCGCCGCGAGCUCCUGCUCCGCCGCUAGCUGCUGCUCCGCCGCGAGCUCCUGCUCCGCCGCGAGCUCCUGCUCCGCCGCUAACUCCUGCUCCACCGCUAGCUCCUGCUCCGCCGCUAGCUCCUGCUCCGCCGCUAGCUGCUGCUCCGCCGCUAGCUCCUGCUCCGCCGCUAGCUGCUGCUCCGCCGCUAGCUCCUGCCCCGCCGCUAGCUCCUGCUCCGCCGCUAGCUCCUGCCCCGCCGCUAGCUGCUGCUCCGCCGCUAGCUCCUGCCCCGCCGCUAGCUCCUGCUCUGCCGCUAGCUCCUGCCCCGCCGCCCGCAACGACGUCAACUACAACGCUGGAGGUCACCGGAGGAAAUCCAGCGCCGUGCAACAAAGAGCUCAUCACCGAAGUCCAACAGGGCGCCGUGUUCUUCAUUCUGUUCCACGAGACUCUGGACCAGACCACCGCGAGACUCUGGACCAGACCACCGCGAGCAGACAGCUGGACUUCAUGUGCUCUUGGUGAAAUGACCAGGUCCCGUCAGGAUCCUGUGGAGCUCAUGGGCCAUGACACCAGGACCUACUUCAGCACCUCACAGAGAAUGGACCAAAUGUCAACUGGAAGUUUUUAUAUUAAUACAGUUUGAAAAGGAUUGUUUUCCUAGUAUAUUCACAAAAGCUCAGGAGUAGACAUGAACCUGUGCACAAACAUCCAUCACAUAGAGAUAUGAGAACUCACACUCACACACACACACAUACAUUCUAUUAUGUAAAUAUAUUUGCAUUUUAAAAGCAGCUGGAAAUGUUAUUUGUUAUUUUAUGGAUUUUUUUUGUUCAAAAGGAACUAUGUUGCAUGGAUUUUUUAAAUAUAUUUACUUAAUUUUAGAGACAUUUGUUCAUGGGACUUAAAUGUUCUGAAAAUGUAUUAAUAAAUAUAAUUUACAACAGCAA